rnacentral:rRNA from 1 species
AGAAUGAACGUUGGCGGCGUGGAUUAGGCAUGCAAGUCGAACGAAUCCCAGGGGGCAACUCCUGGGGGAAGUGGCGAAAGGGGCAGUAAGGCAUGGGUAACCUACCCCGGGGACGGGCAUAGCCGUCCUAACGGACGGGUAAUUCCUGGCGAUUCAGUUGGGGGGCAUCCUUCGACUGGGAAACGAGUUUCGCCUCGGGAGGGGCUCAUGUAGUAUUAGCUUGUUGGUGGGGUAACGGCCUACCAAGGCGAAGAUGCUUAGCGGGUGUGAGAGCACGACCCGCGCCACUGGCACUGAGACACUGGCCAGACUCCUACGGGAGGCUGCAGUCGAGGAUCUUCGGCAAUGGGCGCAAGCCUGACCGAGCGACGCCGCGUGUGCGAAGAAGGCCUUCGGGUUGUAAAGCACUGUCGAGGGGAAGAAAGCCGCAAGGUUGAUCGACCCCUGGAGGAAGCACGGGCUAAGUUCGUGCCAGCAGCCGCGGUAAGACGAACCGUGCGAACGUUAUUCGGAUUCACUGGGCUUAAAGGGCGCGUAGGCGGGCUGUCAAGUCGGUGGUGAAAUCUUUCGGCUCAACCGGAAAAUCGCCUCCGAUACUGGCGGCCUCGAGGGGGGUAGGGGCAUGCGGAACUUCCGGUGGAGCGGUGAAAUGCGUAGAUAUCGGAAGGAACGCCGGUGGCGAAAGCGGCGUGCUGGACCCUUUCUGACGCUGAGGCGCGAAAGCCAGGGGAGCAAACGGGAUUAGAUACCCCGGUAGUCCUGGCCCUAAACGAUGGGUACUGGGUUGUGGACUGGACAUGGGUUCACAGCCGCAGCAAAGUGUUAAGUACCCCGCCUGGGGAGUAUGGUCGCAAGGCUGAA